GUGGAGCCAGAAAUAUUGUUGGAUGGAGAGCAUGGGAUAGACAGGACAUUUGAGGUAGCACAGCAGGUAUGGGCAGAGGUGUUCUUCUACUUGGCUCAGAACAAUGUUCUGUUCGAGGGUAUUCUCCUCAAGCCUAGCAUGGUGACACCUGGCGCCGAGUGCAAGGACCGUGCCACUCCCGAGCAGGUCGCCGACUACACUCUCAAGCUCCUCCACCGCAGAGUCCCCUCUGCCGUCCCCGGAAUCAUGGCAAGUCUUUUUUUUUUUUUUUCCUUCCCUCUAAUUUCAAUCAUAUACCUAAAUAACAUGAUUAAUUAAAUAAAUCGACCUUUCUGGAUGUCUGGUUAGUCAAAUAACAUUCUCGAACUAAUCUUCGCUGAUUGAGAGAUUAUUUAAUUGGACCUGCGACGGUCCAACAAUAUAACAUGGGUUUUCAUAAGAUUAUUAUGUAAUCAUCUUCGCUGAUCUUAACAUAGGGCCAAACAAGGCCUUACAGUAUCAUCGAUAAAAUAUUCAAACAAUUGUUUUUGAUUUUGUAUUUUGUUUAUAGUUCUUGUCUGGUGGGCAAUCGGAGGUUGAAGCAACACUCAACUUGAACGCAAUGAACCAAUCUCCAAACCCGUGGCACGUGUCUUUCUCGUACGCGAGAGCUCUGCAGAACACAUGCUUGAAGACUUGGGGAGGAUUGCCCGAGAACGUGCAGGC
rnacentral:lncRNA from 1 species